CUAAAAGAUGUGCCAAAAGCAUCAAUUCCCUUGUUUGCAUUGCCACCCACAUGACUACAUUAGGAUGGUUCACACAUGAUAGAGAGCUGUCUGGUUUGUCGGAUGAGCAGAGACGAGUGUGUCAAAGCACUUACCAAGCAUGCCAAUAUUCAACCCACCAUCACCCUAACAGUUUGGGAAGAAUUGAUUAAAGAGAACAAUGUCUUCUUUCGAGAGUAUUUCCAGGCUUCAGCCGACGAAGUUUAGCAAUGAAGCCAACCCAACUUUGCAUU